UACGAAGGGGGCUAGCGUUGCUCGGAAUCACUGGGCGUAAAGCGCACGUAGGCGGCUUUCUAAGUCAGGGGUGAAAUCCUGGAGCUCAACUCCAGAACUGCCUUUGAUACUGGAGAGCUAGAGUCCGGAAGAGGUGAGUGGAACUGCGAGUGUAGAGGUGAAAUUCGUAGAUAUUCGCAAGAACACCAGUGGCGAAGGCGACUUACUGGACACAUAUUGACGCUGAGGUGCGAAAGCGUGGGGAGCAAACAGG
rnacentral:rRNA from 1 species